AACCCUUUAAAAAUGGACAAGGCCUUCUCCGCUUGUGGGGUCAGGGGUGUCCCGCGGGCAGGUUUGGCGCUCGGGCCUCUGCCGGGCUUGCCCCAGUGCUGCUUUUUCCCAUCCAAGGAGCGCGGGACCCGGGGAAGGAGAGUGAGGCUGCUGGCGCCGCGGCGGUCACCCCCGGGGGCCGCCGCUUCCGCGGGGCCUGGCGGCCCGCUGAGGACUCCGCCAGCAGUGCUUCCGGGCACAGCACACACAGCAGUCCCGCGGGGCUCGCCGCGCUCCGGUUCCCAGGCCUGGGCUGCGUCCGCCUCACCUGGAGGGGCUGCUGAACUCCAGGUUGCUCAGGCCCCGCCCCAGGGGGCGGGCUCGCCAGGUGCGAGGUGGGGCCCGGCGUGAUGCCGCUGCUGCUGGACUGGGAGCUCUCGCUCUGAGGACCAUUGGCUUACAAGUGACCUUACACUCCUGGCCGUCGCACUCAGAGCCCCGCAGUCUAACGCCAGCCUGUCUGGGCCACAGCUUGCAUGCACUUCGCCAGUCCCUGUUCCUGAUUUCCCCUCUGCCCUCGCACGGGACUCCUCCUCUGCAAGGGUCUUUGCCAUUUUUACCUUUCACACUCUCCCCGCCCCGCGCCCCCACCCCCCCCCCCCCCGGCCUCAGGGGGUCAGCACAUUUGCUAGCUCUCCCAGAAAGCCUCUUCGCGUUUCUCUGGGCAGGAGCCUCAGACCCUCCUCUAGACGCGCACUGAGCUUUUCCCCUCCUUGCUCCAAUACUGUAGCUCGCUCGCCAUGGCAUUCACUUGCUGCCAGAUUAUAAGGAGACAUAUCUAGUAAGAAGCUGCCUACUGCCAGUGUCAAAAAGGUUGCCACCGGUGUUCUCCUCCAGGAUUUUGAUGGUUUCCUGUCUCACAGUUAAGCCUUUAAUCCAUUUGGAAUUUAUUUUUGUGUAUGGUGUAAGAAAGUGGUCCAGUUUCAUUCCUUUGCAUGAAUAGACAUUUUUCCAAAGAAGACAUACAGAUGGCUAACAGACACAUGAAAAUAUGCUCAACAUCACUCAUCAUCAGGGAAAUACAAAUCAAAACUACAGUGAGCUAUCACCUCACACCUGUCAGAAUGGCUAAAAUUAACAACAUAGGAAACAACAGAUGUUGGUGAGGAUGCGGAGAAAGGGGAACCCUCUUAAAUUAUUGGUAAGAAUGCAAACUGGUGCAACCAUUCUGGAAAACAGUAUGGAGGUUCCUCAGAAAGUUAAAAAUAGUACUCUACAAUCCAGCAAUUGCAAUACUAGGUGCUUACCCAAAGGAUACAAAAAUACUGAUUGAAAGGGAUACAUACAGCCAGGUGUUUAUAGCAGCAUUAUCAACAAUAGCCAAAUUAUGGAAAGAGCCCAAAUGUCCAUCAACUGAAGAAUGGGUGAAGAAGGUGUGGUGUGUAUGUACACACACACACACACACACAGGAAUAUUACUCAGCCAUAAAAAAGAAUGAAAUCUUGCCAUUUGCAAUGAUGUGGAUGGAACUAGAGAGUACUAUGCUAAGUGAAAUAAGUCAGCCAGAGAAAGACAAACACCAUAUGAUUUCACUCAUAUGUGGAAUUUAAGAAACAAAACAGAUGAACAUAGAGGGGGGAAGAGAGAGGCAAACCAUAAAACAGACUCUUAAGUACAGGGAAAAAACUGAGGGUUGCUAGAGAGGAGGUGGCUGGGGGAUGGGCUAAAUAGGUGACAGGUAUUAAGGAGGGCACUGGUUGUGAUAAGAACUGGGUGUUAUAAGUAGGUGAUGAAUCAUUAAAUUCUAUACCUGAAACUAAUAUUGAACCAUAUGUUAACUAACUGGAAUUUAAAUAAAAACUUGAAAAAAAAAAGAAACAAAACAAAUGAACAUGGGGGAAAAUAAAAAAGAGAGACAAACUAAGAAACAGACUCUUAAUUACAGAGAACAAACUAUGGUUACCAGAAGGAAGGUGGGCAGGGGAUGGGUUAAAUGGGUGAUGGGGAUUAAAGAGGGCACGUGUGAUGAGCACUGGGUGUUGUAUGUAAGUGAUGAAUCAUUGAAUUCUGCACCUGAAACUAAUAUUACACUUCAUGUUAAGUAACUGGAAUUUCAAUAAAAAUUUAAAAAAAUAAAAAUAAAAAGGCAAAAAAAGCUAACUGUGAAACAAAAUACACAAUCCACGAACAAUUAUGACUACUGAGGAAAUGCAUAAAAAGUUUAUCUCAAAACUGGCAAAUUUUAAAUUUUCCUGGAAAAGGACUAUCUUUUCCAACUGGGAAAUAUGCACAUCUAGCAAAUAUUCAUUCUCAUGCUUGAAAUAAUUUGAGACACCAAGGGAAUUGAGGUAGUUGGGCCAGUUAAAACCACGAGCGAGAAUUAAUCUCUUCCUCUUACUAUCCUUUCCAAGCUCCUGCUGAAUGGGAGGGCUCUUUAAGGAUUUGGCUUUUAUGUACCUGCAACUCCAACCCAGAAUUUACUACUGAUAGUCCUUUUCAUGGCAGUAUUUAGUUGUUCUUGGGUUGAGAUAAUCUAAAUAGCUGGAAUCUAUUUCAGAAUUGUCUGACUCUUGCAGGACAUGCCUUUACAAAAAAGCCUCCUGUUCAGAGCUGGAUUUUUACUGUAAUCACAGAAUUUAGUUUAUAAAACCAAGCCAUAAAUGGUGUUCAUGCACAGGGCCAGUUUGACCUGGUUGCCUAAAUAGAAGAAACCCCAACUGCUUAUUCAUCCUUUUUCUCCACUAUUUGAGAUUAUCUUAAAUAUAUAUAUACAUAUGAUAUGAUAUGAUAUCAUAUCAUAUCAAAAAGGUUUGGUGUAGAGGUCUAGUUCCUAUUGGGAUUUUGUUAAGACAGUAUAAAUGAAUUUAAAUAAGAAAUGUUGUGUGCACCAAGUAACGAUUCUGAUUCAUUUACAUCAAACGUGUUUACAGUGUGCUUGCUCCUAGAAACCCUAUGAGCCAAAUUGUUUAUCUUAGUUUUGAUUACAUUGAAACAAACAUGUAGAGCUAAGGAAAGAAACACAUUACCAAGGAGCAGGGGUAAAGGAAUAGUCAAUGUAGUUGAAAUAUCCAUGAAGCUUUUCAGGGUAAGAGGAGUUGAGUGAUAAAAAAACUGCCAAACUCUCAGUCAGCCCUGCCAGAUGUCAGUCUCUGUGUCAUCAUGGGAAAUCACACAUCUUCCUUAUAGCCUCACUCUGUGUCACCAUCACCUUACCACUCCCCAUGAACUCUGAUGACCAAGCAGGUAGAUAAACACCACUUAUGGGGCAGCUAUGGGUGAACAUCAACAAUCCUCCUCUAAACUUUAUCCAACUGUGGUUUCCAGUUUAGUGAUAGUUUAGAAGUCUUUUGAAAUGUAAUUGUGGACUAGAAAAUUUCUACAGCAAGAGUCCCCCAAAAUUUCUUUUUUUUUUUUUUUAAUAUUUUAUUUAUUUAUUUAUUCAUGAGAGAGAGAGAGAGGCAGAGGGAGAAGCAGGCUCCCAAGGAGCAGGGAGCCCGAUGCGGGACUCGAUCCCAGGACCCUGGGAUCAUGACCUGAGCCGAAGGCAGACGCCCAACCAUCUGAGCCACCCAGGCGCCCCCCCCCAAAAUUUCUACAGCAAGAGUCCCCCAAAUUUGUAAAUUAUGUUUUUACUAAUCUAAAGCAUGGUGGUCAGAAUUUACCAAUAGUAAAGUCCCUGAGUAGGAAAUGGAGAGUUGUUACUGUCUCCUUAUUGGUUAUAUCCUGGGAAACCACAGAAAAUGUUCAAGGCAGUUGCCUGAGAGAGAGAGAGCUAUCUGUAAAGCUUUGAAUCUUCCAUGCAAUGUCUGUCUACAAUUAGAAAAUGUAUAUAGGUUUUAAAAUUUUCAAAAUAAAAGUGAGGGAGAAAACCACCACAAAAGUUAAAAACAGCUACUAAGAAUUACUGGGAAAAAAAUUUAUUACUCAGAAUGUAGCCAAGGAGAGAUCUCUCCACUCUCAGAGGACGGGGAUAGCAUUUGGACCAGGUCAUGUUCAUAGCAUCAUCUGCAGCAGCAGGUGAUUACCAUCACUCCAUUUCUUAGUCUAUGGUUAUGCCCUAUGGGAACUCAUUAAGUACUUACUAUCUUUGUGUAGCUUAUAAGGCUUUGUAAGUAUUAUUAAUUUGAAGAAACAAAGAAAAAUAUAUGCUAUCAUAAACUAUGGACUUGUGACCAAAGGUUGUGUCAUGAUUAAUAAAUCCACUUCUCGUUCUCAUUCAUCCAUUCAUUCAUUCAGCAAAUAUUCCUAUAGUAUACUAAAUGCUAAACCAUAUGCUAGACUCUGGGAAUCCAGCAGUUACCCACAUAGACAUGAUCACAGCUUAUAAUCAUUUAUAGUCCAUUAAUUCACUCAAUGGAUAUUUCUGGAGUAUCUACCAUAUGGCAGGCAUUCUUCUCUAUACUGGGAUAUGCAAGUAAACAAAAAAGAAAAAAAAAUUCCUGACCUUGUGGGGCUUAUUUUUAGUGGACAAUUUCCAAUAAUAAGCACCAAACAUGAAAAAUAAAUAAAUGAUAAAAUAUGCUAGAAAUAUAAAAGUAUCAUUAAUGGCAAAAUAUAAAGCAGGGGAAGGGAUCUCAGAAGUUCAGAUCGACUGGUUGUAAUUUUAAAUAUAGUAGUCCACGUAAGUUUCAUUGAGAAGGUGACACAUUUGGGAAAAAACUCAAAGGAGCUAGGAAGUUGGCCAUGCAGGUAUCUAGAGAACGAAAGUACUGGGGCAGAGAAAACAGACAGUGCAAAGGCCCUAAGGUGAGUGGAUGACUGGCAUUUUCAAGAAGGAAAAAAGAGGCACUGCUUCAAGCAGAGAGAAAGUAGCAGGUGAAGAGGUCAGAGAGGUAACAGGGAUCCAGACCCUGGGCUUUGCAGGUCUUACGAACAAUCUAAAGUAUCGCUCUUGCUGAUGUAGUUAGAGCAGACUAUAGUGUACAAAGUUAAAAACAGACCCAAUAAAAGGUAAUUGCCAUAAUCCAGGUGAAGAGUAUUGAUAGCUUAAGCAAAAGUGAAAUAUCUUCUGAAAGGAGAGCUAGUGGGAUUUCCUAAUGGACUAGAUGUGAAAUGUGAGAGUAAAAAGAAGUCAAGGAAGACUAAAGUUUUUGAUCUGAGCAAUUGGGAGAAUGGAAGUGUCAUUACCUGGGAGAAAGAAGGUUGCAAGAGAAGCAAGUUUUGUUUUGUUUUCGUUUUUGGGGUUUUUUUUUCCUCCUUAGGGAGGGAGUUGCCAGAAGUCUGGAGAUUAUGGUUUCUGUUAGGGGCAUAUUAAGUUUGAGGUGUCUGUUACAUAUCCAAGUGAAUAUCCCUUAUAUUUCCAAGGUGGUUUGAUAUGUGAACAUGGAAUUUAAAGGAUAUAAAUUUUGGAAUCAUUUGUGUUUAAAGGCACUUGGAGCUGCUAGGCUGGAUGACAUUACCAAGGAGGUGAAUAUGGAUAGAGCUGAGGACCCAAACUAAUCGCUGGGUCAUACCACCAGUGAGAGGUCUGAGAAAGGAGGAUUAAAAAAAAAAAAGAAAAAAAGGAACCAAGAAGGCAUGCCAGUGAGGUGGGAGGAAAACCUGGUAGGAGCAGAGCCUGAAAGUCACCGAGAGAAAGUACAUCACGGAGAAGGAAGUAAUCACAUGUCAAAUCCUGCCAAGCAAAUCUUGUGGUAAUUCACCAUAGUAAGGGAAAGACCAGAAAAAUCACUAAAAAUAUGAUUAAAGUCACAAAAGAACCAUUUGUAAUAGACCUUCUCAGUGAUAUGUAGUAACUGAUCACCAGCUAGUAAUAAAUUUUCUUUCAA